rfam:Ictidomys tridecemlineatus contig035170, whole genome shotgun sequence.
GGGGAUAUAGCUCAGUUGGUAGAGUGCUUGCCUCACAUGUACAAGGCCCUGGGUUCAAUCCCCAGGGCCACCA